GCCUUACUAGCUCAGUUGGUAGAGCAUGAGACUCUUACUCUCAGGGUCGUGAGUUUGAGCCCCAUGUUGGGUG
rnacentral:tRNA from 1 species